CCUGCAAUGCCACCUGUGCAAGGGAUUUGGAGGAUGCUCUCGCCCGUCUAGCUGCCCAUGGAGCUCCACCCACUGUGUCAUCAUUGCCACCCGUUCUCCCAUCAGCUUUACAGAUCUGCCUCUGGUGACGAAGAUGUGCUACAGUGGCUGUCCUGAUGUCUCCAGCUUGGGCUUAGGUCCUCAUGUAUCCAUCGCCUGCUGCCAGUCCAAUCUCUGCAACAGGGACUGACCACACUCCUCCACUCCCAGCUGGCUCCACAGAACAAUGCCAUGCCCCUUGGUUAGGCCUGGUCCUUGGAGAUCACUCCAGCUUGGCUAUCCCAAAGCCCCCACCCCAACUCACACUUCUUUGGGAGGUUCUGAAUGAAGUCCUGUGUAAAUCCACUGUGAUACAAGCUUAAGAUCCAAUCUGCGGGUUACCCUCAGUGUCAACAAAUCUCCCAAUAAAAACUACCUGGG
rnacentral:lncRNA from 1 species